CUUAAUAUGAUGCUAAAUUGUCACUGACUUUGGUUAGAUUCAAGCUAUUUUUGUGAGAAUCUUAAUGUGCCAAAACUAAAAACAGGAUGUUCGCUUUUGUGAGGCAUUUGUCUGAUUGAGUU
rnacentral:snoRNA from 1 species